rnacentral:tRNA from 1 species
GCCCCGUUGGACUUCCGGUGAGGUCCUCGGCCCUUCAAGCCGAAGAGGCGGGUUCACUCUGAGCGGCGAAGCCGCUCAGGACGCAGCUUGCUGCGGGCCGCAGGCCUGGCGCAGGGCGCCAGCACUCCCGCACGGGGUACCA